GUAGUAUUCCCUCCGUCCCAAAUUUUUUGUCUUACAUUUGUUUAGAUACGGAUGUAUCUAACACUAAAAUGUAACUAGAUACAUCCGUAUUUAGACAAAUUUAAGACAAGAAUUUUGGGACAGAGGGAGUACAAA
rnacentral:pre_miRNA from 1 species